GAUCAGCCCGCUCCCGGUAAAACGGGACGGCCCGCCAGAGGACCCCUAAACUCUGUUUCUAUAUGUAACUUCUGAGUAAAACCAUAAAUAAAUCAAAACUUUCAACAACGGAUCUCUUGGUUCUGGCAUCGAUGAAGAACGCAGCAAAAUGCGAUAAGUAAUGUGAAUUGCAGAAUUCAGUGAAUCAUCGAAUCUUUGAACGCACAUUGCGCCCGCCAGUAUUCUGGCGGCAUGCCUGUUCGAGCGUCAUUUCAACCCUCAAGCACAGCUUGGUGUUGGGACUCGCGUUAAUUCGCGUUCCCCAAAUUGAUUGGCGGUCACGUCGAGCUUCCAUAGCGUAGUAGUAAAACCCUCGUUACUGGUAAUCGUCGCGGCCACGCCGUUAAACCCCAACUUCUGAAUGUUGACCUCGGAUCAGGUAGGAAUACCCGCUGAACUUAAGC
rnacentral:rRNA from 1 species